AGCCUCUUUUAUGGGGUGACUGCGUACCUUUUGUAUAAUGGGUCAGCGACUUAUAUUCUGUAGCAAGGUUAACCGAAUAGGGGAGCCGAAGGGAAACCGAGUCUUAACCGGGCGUUAAGUUGCAGGGUAUAGACCCGAAACCCGGUGAUCUAGCCAUGGGCAGGUUGAAGGUUGGGUAACACUAACUGGAGGACCGAACCGACUAAUGUUGAAAAAUUAGCGGAUGACUUGUGGCUGGGGGUGAAAGGCCAAUCAAACCGGGAGAUAGCUGGUUCUCCCCGAAAGCUAUUUAGGUAGCGCCUCGUGAAUUCAUCUCCGGGGGUAGAGCACUGUUUCGGCAAGGGGGUCAUCCCGACUUACCAACCCGAUGCAAACUGCGAAUACCGGAGAAUGUUAUCACGGGAGACACACGGCGGGUGCUAACGUCCGUCGUGAAGAGGGAAACAACCCAGACCGCCAGCUAAGGUCCCAAAGUCAUGGUUAAGUGGGAAACGAUGUGGGAAGGCCCAGACAGCCAGGAUGUUGGCUUAGAAGCAGCCAUCAUUUAAAGAAAGCGUAAUAGCUCACUGGUCGAGUCGGCCUGCGCGGAAGAUGUAACGGGGCUAAACCAUGCACCGAAGCUGCGGCAGCGACACUGUGUGUUGUUGGGUAGGGGAGCGU
rnacentral:rRNA from 1 species